AUUGGGUGAUCCACCCGACUUGAUUUUAGGCGCUUCUUUGAACAGACUUCCGAUCAGGGAUUAAAUAGUAAUAAUUUCAAAUCGAUCUAGGUAAACAGACCCUAUACUCACUCACAUGAGGCAUGAGAAAGACUGCAAGGCUCGAUUUCAUACAUGUUCAUUCUUGUCUCGUACUGUUUAUCUUUGUCCGAUUUUCGUCCAACCGAGCGAUCAGUUCCCGCAACAGUACGAUUGCGAACGUUUAAUGGUCAUGGUGCAGGUGAAAUUUAUGUUUACUAGAAUUACUCAAAAUGGCGAUCGCAGAAUGAGUGAAUCGUAGUAAAUCGCAACAAUGGAUCCAAGCGAUCUGCCAAUCGAAGAGGGGUAAACAAUCCACAUCUCGGAAACGUCUGGACCCGUAACAUCCCGGAGACAUCGGUGUAACUUCAAUUCACCGGUCUGGAGACAAUCUAGCGCACAACGACGACAAGCAUCCAAAAUAAAAAUGGCCCUCCCGAAGAAUAUUAUCGAGCUGAUGAGAAAGUCCGGCUGCCGAUCGGUGACACAUCUGCUAUCGACCAUUUUCGCACUGCUCCUGCUACCGGUUCUCGCCCUGGGCGAGAGUUCCCAGUUCGACCUACUGGGUGGCGGUGUACAAUUUUACGGCAAGCAUGGUUUCAAGAAGUUGAUCCAAUAAAAUUAUCGCGAUGAAAUUAAUUAAUGUUCAGUUCUCUUAUUGCGCGCUUAGACGCACAUUGUUUACGAAAUCUCUUGAAUGUGGUAGUAUUUCUAAAAUAAUAGUCUUAUCGGGUGUCUCGGUUGAUGUGGCGGACAAUAGAAAGCGAUUUUAGAUUUCGAGAAACGUAACGUAACGGCUGCCGGCGGGAGUGAAACGAACGGCCCAACAACAUCAUUAAUCGGAUACAAAGCGGAAUGUAGUAAUCGAAGAUGGUGGCGUGUUACUGGAGAUUGGAAGCAGAUUUCGAGUUGUCUCCACAAGGAGGUAUGGAUCGGUUCGAGGAGAGAAUGGAUCUUGGGUGAAGAAUUUCGUGAAAUUUUGACUAACUGUUGGAGGAAAUUAAGAAAAGUGCCUAUGACUUAAGAUUACACUUUGAAAAUAUAGCGAUUUACGAUAA